CGUGCCUAACACAUGCAAGUCGAACGGAGUAGAACGCUGAUUUGAUGGAAGCUUGCUUCUGGAUUUCUUGUUCUGCUUAGUGGCGGACGGGUGAGUAACGCGUGAAUAACCUGCCUUACAGAGGGGGACAACAGUUGGAAACGACUGCUAAUACCGCAUAAUGUCUAACCGAGGCAUCUCGGAUAGACCAAAGGAGCAAUCCGCUGUAAGAUGGACUCGCGUCCAAUUAGGUAGUUGGUGGGGUAACGGCCCACCAAGUCGACGAUUGGUAGCCGGACUGAGAGGUUGAACGGCCACAUUGGGACUGAGACACGGCCCAGACUCCUACGGGAGGCAGCAGUGGGGGAUAUUGCACAAUGGGGGAAACCCUGAUGCAGCAACGCCGCGUGAAGGAAGAAGGUCUUCGGAUUGUAAACUUCUGUUUUUAGUGAAGAAACAAAUGACGGUAGCUAAAGAGGAAGCCACGGCUAACUACGUG
rnacentral:rRNA from 1 species